rnacentral:rRNA from 1 species
AUUGAACGCUGGCGGCGUGCCUAACACAUGCAAGUCGAGCGGUAGAGAGGAGCUUGCUUCUCUUGAGAGCGGCGGACGGGUGAGUAAUGCCUAGGAAUCUGCCUGGUAGUGGGGGAUAACGUUCGGAAACGGACGCUAAUACCGCAUACGUCCUACGAGAGAAAGUGGGGGGUCUUCGGACCUCACGCUAUCAGAUGAGCCUAGGUCGGAUUAGCUAGUUGGUGAGGUAAAGGCUCACCAAGGCGACGAUCCGUAACUGGUCUGAGAGGAUGAUCAGUCACACUGGAACUGAGACACGGUCCAGACUCCUACGGGAGGCAGCAGUGGGGAAUAUUGGACAAUGGGCGCAAGCCUGAUCCAGCCAUGCCGCGUGUGUGAAGAAGGUCUUCGGAUUGUAAAGCACUUUAAGUUGGGAGGAAGGUCAGUAGCUUAAUACGUUGCUGAUUUGACGUUACCGACAGAAUAAGCACCGGCUAACUCUGUGCCAGCCGCCGCAGUAAGAC